rnacentral:rRNA from 1 species
UGGGGAAUAUUGGACAAUGGGCGAAAGCCUGAUCCAGCAAUGCCACGUGGGUGAUGAAGGCCUUAGGGUUGUAAAGCCCUUUCAGUAGGGAAGACGAUGACAGUACCUACAAAAGAAGCUCCGGCUAACUUCGUGCCAGCAGCCGCGGUAAUACGAAGGGAGCUAGCGUUGUUCGGAAUUAUUGGGCGUAAAGAGCAUGUAGGCGGUUUGAUAAGUUGGGAGUGAAAGUCCAGAGCUCAACUCUGGGAGUGCUUUCAAAACUGUUGAACUAGAGUGAGGUAGAGGGUGAUGGAAUUCCUAGUGUAGAGGUGAAAUUCUUAGAUAUUAGGAGGAACACCGAAGGCGAAAGCGAUCACCUGGGCCUAUACUGACGCUGAGAUGCGAAAGCGUGGGGAGCAAACAGG